rnacentral:rRNA from 1 species
UACGGGGGGGGCAAGCGUUGUUCGGAAUUACUGGGCGUAAAGGGCUCGUAGGCAGCCAACUAAGUCGGAUGUGAAAUCCCCAGGCUUAACUUGGGAACUGCAUCCGAUACUGGAUGGCUUGAAUCCGGGAGAGGGAUGCGGAAUUCCAGGUGUAGCGGUGAAAUGCGUAGAUACCUGGAGGAACACCGGUGGCGAAGGCGGCAUCCUGGACCGGCAUUGACGCUGAUGAGCGAAAGCCAGGGGAGCAAACGGG